AUAUGUAUGUCUAGACCUCUAAAUAGUUUUGUGCAUUUCUAUUUAUUUUUUGCAAUUUUCAGCUUUAUUAACUUCUUUCCUUUGUAACAUGAGGAUUUAACUCCCUUUCCUGUGUCCCACCACUAUCAAACCUUCAUAUUCCUCAUCCUCCUAACACAGAGUCAUGAUUUUGGUUAAAUUAAGAUACAGCUCAGUUCCUUUUAGUAUGCAGUUGUCCCUCAGGAUCCAUGGGGGAUUGGAUCCAGGAACCCCCAACAGAUACCAAAGUCCACAGAAGCUCAGAUUCAUUAUCUAUGAUGUAGUAUUUGCCUAUAACC
rnacentral:lncRNA from 1 species